rnacentral:misc_RNA from 1 species
GUAUUUUAUUGCGUUAAACGCGAAAAACAUUCCAUGAGACGUUGUGUGUGUAAAGACGUAGAGCCACGGAAGGAAGACGGGGUCUCCCAAACCAUAGAACUACCGAGGGUGCACAGGUGUGAGUGGAUGCGUAAACAGAGCGUGCACGUGCCCCCGUUCGGGGGCCAGCAACAACCCGUGUUUGACGAUUCGGUAAUGAUCCUUCCGCAGGUUCACCUACGGAAA